GCUGAUACACAUAAUGCUGUAUGUAGUCUUUUGGAGCACAGUAAUUACUAUGCUCCAGCAAUUUUGAUUAAUUGAGUCUGCUCCGACGUGCUGUAAUUAAAGCAUGUUGGAACAGCCUCGCUGCACGUGUAUAGGUGCCUAACUGAUGCAAAGUAGCAGCAGCUUUCAUAGGUGACAGCCUACGUCAUCAGAUGUUAAGCUGUUGCCCAUGAAACCUUAUGCUGCUCUGAAGCAUUUAGUAUCUAAGAUGCCACCCUGCCCUGCCUUCUGCCUGACUUCAGACUAAAACAGCUAAAUAGAUACCUCUCUAUUCAUGGCCAAUGAAGUUUUUCACUGGAUGCUUGCAUUCUGGGACAGAACUGGUUAACUCCUGCCACAACAGCUGCAGGGUGACAGCAUGCCUUUAAGACACUGAAGAGUGGGUGGGUGGCUAUUGAUGCUGGGAAGAUUAGAUGUUGUGGAGCAAUACUGGCUCUGAAUUAGACCUGUGUGCUGCACAACAUCAGUGCAAACAAAGGAAAGAGUCUGGUGAUGGAAAGCAAAGGUUCAGACACUUUGACGAUGUUGGGCACAACCUGCAGGACACCCUUUCCUAAAUACAAUCUCCUGUAGUGCAUUAUCAAAGAGGCCUUGUGCACCUCCUUCAAGGACAGGGUCCUUUGCUUUAUAUUUGAGGAGCCCAUUGUGACUUGUGGGAUAUGGGAGUCAGUCUGGCAGCACUGGUACAGUGCCACAGCCCAUGAGCAUGUUUCACAGGCCUUGUAUAGAUUAAUGAAUUUCUGGAAGCACAGGCGAUGGCUGUACCUUCACUGCACGCAAUAGGGCAGCACUGUAGCCUGUUUUUCAGUGUGCAGGGUUGGUUACACAUGGUCUGUACCUCUUUAUUAAUCUUAAAAAGGGGUGGGUGGGGCAUACUACACUUGCAAUGCAUGGCAGCGCUUUGGCUCUGGAUCAAAAUCAACUACUUUGAACAUAAGACAUAUGAAGCCAAAUCUGUGCCAGCAGCAUUAUGGUGGGGGCUGAAAAAAAUGCAACAAGGAAAUAUUCAGUUCAAACAGUUUUCUUCAGGUAAACUUCCAACUACUCCAGCCUUUUUUCUUGGUAACCAUUGAGACACUGGAAGAGGUAGAAUGUGGAAACAAUGUCACAUUUGGGUUACAGGGACCAAAGGUAGUCAGUCAUCUCCCCCAAACCCACUUUUUGUUACCAUAUAGGAAGGAGCUGGAUCUGGAAACCGCUGCUUCUGCUAGAAGGACAUCUCCAGAGUCUGGAGGGAUGAAGCUGGUGUGGAGGGUGAGUGGAAGCUUCAAAAGUGCAUGCACCCCAGCAAUAAUGUGUCUGUUCACCUUCUCUAUCAGCUGCUUCUGCUGUUCCCUGACCAUUUCUGCCAUUUCCCAAUUUACAGUAAAUCUUUGCUCUGCCGGCUCUGUGGUCACAGACUAUCUUUGUCUCUCUCUUACUCCUUAGCCUUGAGAAACCCUCUCCACCCCUCCCCUUCCUCAGUUCACACAGGCUUCCUCUGAACAUUUACUCCUUUGUUGCUUUAUUUCUUACUUGCAAAUUUCCCAGAGGUUGGUCAGCGUCCUUGAGUGUCCGGAUGCCUCCGCUGGAAAAAGUUACAAGCAGGAAUUGUCUUUCGAUCUGUUCCCAUGACAGCAAAGAUGCAUUUUUUUUUUUGCACCCACAAUGUUGAGGUGCCAACAGGGAGCCUUUUUCCACUCUUGGAAAACACAAAUGAAUCCUUUUCUACCUUUUCUUCCUCAUGCCUUGGAACCGCACUGCAAGGCAACUUCCUGGCUCACAUGAGGCACUAAGAGUAGGUGGCUGUUGAUAACCCAGGGCAUACUGUAUGCAUUCACAUUUCUGAGCCUAAGGCUGGGGCCACUAGACUGAGGCAGUGAGUCACAAUAUUUUCAGGGCACGACACAGAUGGUAGGCAGCAAAGAGGUGGUGUUAUGAAGAAGGCAGCCAGUUGCAUGCACUCUUGCAAGAAGUCCUACUUGCAAGCCUUCAGCUUGGGGCAUAAACAUCUUAGCAUAUCAUAAACACCCUAGCAUGUGCCAAACGCAUAGUGUUAUGGCUAACUCAGGGAUGUCCAUCUGCAUCCUCUGCAAUGCUUCUCAUUAGGGGUGCACCAGUAGAGAUUUUGGGGGCUGAUACUUUUGGGGGCAGAUUUUUAAGGAGGCACAUCGGUCGAUACUGAUCCGAUUUCUGAUACAGCUGCAUACAGCUGAAUAAAAAAUGACCAGCAGACAGGUGAAAACUUCAACUUCUGAGGCACGGCCCUGUGAGAUUCCAAUGAUGAAUAUCUUGGCCCAAGGACAUGAAAAAGGAAAGGAUCCCAUCCUCAAAAGCAUCAGACCUAACAAACUAAUUCCUGGUAGAGUACCAAGCAACUUUGUUCAGCAUGGAACACCCAGCUGGUCAAGUCCCACAGCUGCUCGACCACCACGGCACCCAACCGCAUCUCCUUCCUGAGCUGGAAGUGCCUGUUAGUGACACCACACUGCAGCAACCCUUGGAAGUGGCCUGCAAAGUGGCAGAUGGCGUACACAUUUUGCAAUGAAAUAUGCCAAAUUUAAACAGCCUUGCAUUGGGGGGGGAGGGAAAAUCUUAAUACAUAUACUUUGAAGAUC